UCUUUACCUAGGUAGGCUAUCACGGGUAACGGGCGGUUACCGUCGGACUGCCGGAGAAGGCGCCUGAGAGAUAGCGACUAUAUCCACGGGUAGCAGCAGGCGCGAAACUUUCCCACUCGAGACUUUCGGAGGAGGUAAUGACCAGUUCCAUUGGUGCCUUUUGGUACUGUGGAUAGGGGUACGGUUUUCCACCGUACCGAAACCUAGCAGAGGGCCAGUCUGGUGCCAGCAGCUGCGGUAAUUCCAGCUCUGCGAGUUUGCUCCCAUAUUGUUGCAGUUAAAACGCCCGUAGUCUGAAUUGGCCAGCAAUGGUCGUACGUAUUUUUACGUUCACUGUGAACAAAUCAGGACGCUUAGAGUAUGGCCACAUGAAUGACUCAGCGCAGUAUGAAGUCUUUGUUUUCUUCCGAAAACAAGCUCAAUGAGAGCCAUCGGGGGUAGAUCUAUCUCAUGACGAGUGGUGGAAUACUUUGACUCAUGAGAGAGAAGCUGAGGCGAAGGCGUCUACCUAGAGGGUUUCUGUCGAUCAAGGGCGAGAGUAGGAGUAUCCAACAGGAUUAGAGACCCUGGUAGUUCCUACCUUAAACGAUGCCGACAGGAGUUUGUCAUUUGUUAAUGGCAGAAUCUUUGGAGAAAUCAUAGUUCUUGGGCUCUGGGGGAACUACGACCGCAAGGCUGAAACUUGAAGGAAUUGACGGAAGGGGCACACCAGGGGUGGAGCCUGUGGCUUAAUUUGAAUCAACACGGGGAAACUUACCAGGACCAGAUGUUUUUUAUGACUGACAGGCUUCGGGUCUUUCAGGAUAUUGUUUUUGGUGGUGCAUGGCCGUUGGUGGUGCGUGGGUUGACCUGUCUAGCGUUGAUUCAGCUAACGAGCGAGAUUAUCGCCAAUUAUUUACUUUGCCGAAGUCCUUCGGUUAAAGUUCUAAUUGGGACUCCCUGCGAUUUUAGCAGGUGGAAGAGGGUAGCAAUAACAGGUCCGUGAUGCCCUUUAGAUGCUCUGGGCU
rnacentral:ncRNA from 2 species